ensembl:lncRNA
GGGCAGCACACCCUCUGUGGAUUGACUCAUUUCAUUGCGGAGAGUUCUGUUGUUACAAAGUAGAUGGAAAGCUGAGCAAAGCCGAGAGGAUCUCCUGGGGGCCCGUCUGUGCAAAAAAAAAAAGAAAACAAACCUGUGAUGCUUGAGAUGCUGCAAGACUUGGCAUUUGAAGUAGUUCUCCUGGAAGAUUUAUUACUGGAUAAGUCACAAAUUUUGAAUGAGAAAUGGAAUCAAGUCGAGGGUUGAGCAAGCAGACAACAAGCACAAACCAGAGAAAACAGUGCUUUCUUCUCCAACUCGUAGGUUUGUUCUAAGGGACGAGUUAAGAGGUUUAUAACCAUUUUUUAAGACUGAAGUAUAGUUAAUUUACCAUGUGUGAGUUUCUGCUCUACAGCACAGUGAUUCAUUUGUACAUGUUGUUGUUCAGUCACUAAGUCCUGUCUGACUCUUUGCAACCCCAUGGACUGCAGCACACCAGGCUUCCCUGGCCCUCACCGUCUCCAGGUGUCUGCCCAAGUUCAUGUCCACUGAAUAGAUGAUGCCACAUUAGAAGAAAAAAGAAAAAGAUCCUGCAGGAUGCAAUGAAGUUCCGCUGUGCUGCAACUAAGACCCAACACAGCCACAUAAACAACAACAAAAACAAACCCCCAAAAAGCCCUUAUAAAAAAAAUCCAGAUUCGCAGGCACUCCCUGUAGAGUCUGCUCAGGAGACAGGACUAUAGAAGGUCCAGGAGACUCUGGCGCACAGCCAGGCACGGGGCCCUCUGGGUCUACCCUGGGUUUGAAGGCACUGCGCUUCAGUAAAUAGCGACAACAGUGUUAGUCCUCUUCUCAGCCCACUUGUGAGCCCCAGAGGCAAAGCCAGGGUUGGGAGAGCUGGUCUGAGCUCCUGCACACAUCCUUCCUCUGGGCCUUUGCCUGCAGCAGCCCUGGAAAUGGCUGACUGCUGAUUCAAACAUCAGGUUUCUCUCCUCUUCUCACUUCCCCAUGGGGUCAAGGUUGAGAAACACUGUGCUCCAUCCUGUGAGUCCCAUUGGCUGAGUCAGGUCUCCAUCUUCCUUCAGAAUGAUCCAGUAUAGGACAGUGUUAGUAGCUCAGUCAUGUCUGACUCUUUGCAACCCCAAGAACUCUAGUAUCCAUGGAAUUCUCCAGGCAAGAAUACUGAAGUGGGUUGCCAUUUCCUUUUCUAG